UACGUAGGGGGCAAGCGUUGUCCGGAAUUACUGGGCGUAAAGGGAGCGUAGGCGGCACUGUAAGUUUCAUGUGAAAUACCCGGGCUUAACCCGGGGGUUGCAUGGAAAACUGCAGAGCUAGAGUACAGGAGAGGCAAGUGGAAUUCCUAGUGUAGCGGUGAAAUGCAUAGAUAUUAGGAGGAACACCAGUGGCGAAGGCGACUUGCUGGACUGAAACUGACGCUGAUGCUCGAAAGCGUGGGGAGCAAAC
rnacentral:rRNA from 1 species